GCAGCCGUAGCUCAGCUGGAUAGAGCACCUGACUACGGAUCAGGAGGUCGUACGUUCGAAUCGUACCGGUUGCGCCA
rnacentral:tRNA from 1 species